GGGGAUGCCAAAAAUGGAAACAGUUUACUUGAAUAAUCCCAGCUCAGAAGAAAUUAGUUUGAUAUCAAUAUCAGCAACAACAGCACAUUUUCAUGCGUCCUUUUUCCAGAAUGGGAUCAUCCAGCAGGGGGAAACACGUCGUUUGAUCUCGUGUUUCUCGCCAGGGCCGUAGGGAACGUAGAAAAUACUUUAUUUAUUAAUACGUCGCAUCAUGGAGUGUUUACAUACCAGGUGUUCGGGUGGGUAUCCCCAACCCCUACAGACUACGGCCCUUCAUCGGGGCCAGAGUCCCUGUUAACGGCAGCUACUCUCCACUCAUAAACAUCCACAACCCUCACAGUGAACCCACUGCAGGUUGUGGAGAUGUACUAAAGUGGGGGAGACCUCCACCUGGACCUGCCUACAGGUCAAAAAGGAGGCACCAGAACAUUCUGGGAGAUCCCUCCGUUUGAGACGAAGGGUGUGAUGAGGGCUAUUCU